rnacentral:rRNA from 1 species
UACGGAGGGUGCAAGCGUUAUCCGGAUUUACUGGGUUUAAAGGGUGCGCAGGCUGUGUAAUAAGUCAGUGGUGAAAGCUUCCAGCUCAACUGGAAAACUGCCAUUGAUACUGUUACACUUGAAUUUGGGAGAGGUAGGCGGAAUACAUCAUGUAGCGGUGAAAUGCUUAGAUAUGAUGUAGAACACCGAUUGCGAAGGCA